GCGUACGUAUUGCGAACGAGGCCGGACAGGUCAAAUCUGCCCUCCGAAGGCAAGGGUCGGACGUUCGAAUCGUCUCGGGCGCGCCA
rnacentral:tRNA from 1 species